AACGCACGAGACCUGCGGACCUGCGGAAGGAUCAUUACCGAGUACCGGGUCCUCUGGGCCCUUACUCCCACCCUUUGUGUACCUUACCUUUAUCUUCUUGUUGCCUUGGCGGGUUCGGGGGAAACCCCAGGGCCUCACGGCCCGCCCGCCAGGGGGACAACCCUCAAAACUCUUUUGUUGACCGGGUCAGUCUGAGAAAACAAAACAAAUGAAUUAAAACUUUUAACAAUGGAUCUCUAG
rnacentral:misc_RNA from 1 species